AGAGAGAGACAUGCGCGCAUAUCAAUAAGCGGAGGAAAAGAAACUAACAAGGAUUCCCCUAGUAACGGCGAGUGAAGCGGGAAGAGCUCAAAUUUGAAAUCUUAAAGGGUUUCCCUUUACGAAUUGUAGUUUAAAGAAGUGUUUUCUGUUGAGGUUUUGGUAAAAGUUCUUUGGAAUAGGACAUCAUAGAGGGUGAGAAUCCCGUAUUUGACCUUUACUUUCAACUUUGUGAUACACUUUCAAAGAGUCGGAUUGUUUGGGAAUGCAGUCCAAAAUGGGUGGUAAAUUUCAUCUAAAGCUAAAUAUUGGCGAGAGACCGAUAGCGAACAAGUACCGUGAGGGAAAGAUGAAAAGAACUUUGAAAAGAGAGUUAAACAGUACGUGAAAUUGUCAAAAGGGAAGCGUUUGACACCAGUGUUGUUUUUCUGAAAAUCAAUUAAAGAACUGUUUAUGCUAAGUUGUUUAGACUUUAUCAGCUAACUGUUUAGUUUUGAGCUUUUCUUUAAUGCACUUUUCAGUUAACAAGUCAACAUCAAUUUCUUUUGCUGUAAAAAAGCUUGAGGAAGGUGGCUUGAGAUUCGUCUUAAGUGUUUAUAGCCUCUUGCCUAUGCAGUCGGAGAGAUUGAGGUCUGCAGCGUAGAUCCUUCGGGGCUAAAUGCAUUUGUGCUAAGUUAUAGCAUUUUAUAGACAACUUGUUGACUAUGAUUUGUCUUGUAGCUUACUCGCUUAUGUUAUUUUACCUACGCUCAGGAUGUUGAGCGCAUGUCUCUCUCU
rnacentral:rRNA from 1 species